UCCAGGGCUUAGGGCCUUUCUAGGGACGGGGAAGUCCUUAGUUCUUGUAGAUGUUGCGUGUCUUGCAUGCACAACUUCCUACUGGCUUAUUUUCCUGCAGAUAAGAGGUUGUAGUUAUGGGUGUCACUGUAUUUAUUUAUUGGUCCAAAAGACUGGUACAAAGGACAGGCAGGCAGAGAGGGCACUGACUCAACCAAGGUUGCCAUCUGCCUGUCCCUUUGGAAGGGACAGAACAGCCCAUCGAGUCCAACUCUGCACACCCAAGUGCUGUUGGAUUCUUUCCACAUGACCACAAGCACUUGAAUACCCUUCGUCUGUAGCAAAGCCUGUAGGUGCAGAGCACUCUGGGAAUCCCCAUAGGUGAGGCUGUGUGAACUACGUGGGCUGUGGUUGCAGAGAUGAGAAUGUAAAUGGGAUCACAAAUAUAGAGGAAAUGAUAUUCAUUCCAGGGUUGGGAGGGUGAAGUGAGAAGAAGACAGCCUUAGCCAAUAAGAAAAUGCUGCCAAAACCGAGGCUGACUCAGAAUGUACCCUCUAGAGCAACAGAAAAGAGAUGCUAAAGUCAUUGAAGGAAGAACCAUGUCUUACUCAUUUUUGUAUGGCCUGGCCUCCCACAGAUACACACGAUUCUAAGCUGCUCACACGUGGCAGAGUGUGCGUAUGCUCUCCUGGUGCGGGAACGGUGAGUGUGCUAAUUCGUGGUUUGGAGGCGAGAGAAGGUACGAGGUAGAGCUGGAAGACGGUGAGCUACAAAUAGUGUGAGCCACCUCCACACCUCUUGCUGCAGAACUACACCACUUCUUUCCCUGCCAAAGGGGAGCCAUGGUGCUACAGUAGCCUGAGGACAGAGAGGCUUGUUUUUUCUUUGGAGAAGGACUCUUCCCUGAUAGGAGAAAUGACUAUCAAUCAUGGUGCCUCCCCUUAACCUGGCCAAGGGGAGGAUGCAUACAUGAUUGAAAGCAGGUCUAUCAGAUGCUCUUGACCUGGAAUUCUGAUGUCAAGAGAAAAGGCACAAAAACUCGAAUGGUCCCAGAUCAUUUACUCUGGUAACAACGGCCAAAGAAAACUGCAUUAUUCCGAACACCGGAAUUCCCAGAGCUUCCCUGACACUUUUAUGAAGAAGAUUCUCAGCUUCUCCUGUUCUGUGAGCUACUCUAUAUCCUUCUAAUAAAUUCAUUUGUUCAU